CCUACGGGAGGCUGCAGUGGGGAAUAUUGGACAAUGGGGGCAACCCUGAUCCAGCCAUGCCGCGUGUGUGAAGAAGGCCCUCGGGUUGUAAAGCACUUUCAGUGAGGAAGAACGCCUGGUGGUGAAUACCCAUCAGGAAAGACAUCACUCACAGAAGAAGCACCGGCUAACUCCGUGCCAGCAGCCGCGGUAAUACGGAGGGUGCGAGCGUUAAUCGGAAUUACUGGGCGUAAAGCGCGCGUAGGUGGCUUGAUAAGCCGGUUGUGAAAGCCCCGGGCUCAACCUGGGAACGGCAUCCGGAACUGUCAAGCUAGAGUGCAGGAGAGGAAGGUAGAAUUCCCGGUGUAGCGGUGAAAUGCGUAGAGAUCGGGAGGAAUACCAGUGGCGAAGGCGGCCUUCUGGACUGACACUGACACUGAGGUGCGAAAGCGUGGGUAGCAAACAGGAUUAGCUACCCUAGUAGUC
rnacentral:rRNA from 1 species